AACAUACCUGCAAAUGAUGAUGUCAUAAAUUUCGGCAAACACAACUGGCUGCCUAAAUAGAAACAAAGUCUAUUAAGGUUUUAUAGGUAGUGAAUGUGGUAUGAGUUAGGUGAUCUUACUGAUAGUCUAUCAUGAUAUCCCCAAAUGUUUCUGAUGGAUUGAUCAUCUGCAAAGACAAAGAAAAUGUGAAAUACCAAAUAUUUAGUCACUUGGAAUCCUGAAAAUACGUAAAGGACGUUUAACUUUAGCAGGAGGGAGGCUGUUGGAAAAUGGAUAACUACUGACCUCUAACCAUGCAGAAGAUCGUGUUAGCUCAUAAGAUGCAAAGCCUCCAUUGCUGUUCUGAAAGAUCAAUAAGAUUUUCAGAUACUGCACCUGAAGGGAGAGAAUCAACUUGACUGCGUCAUAUAACUGAUCUAUUGCCAUUUCUUCCCCAGCAACAGUAGAAGACAAACGUGAUAACAUGAGUGCUGCCUGCAUGCAAUUUGAAUCAGUGAGAACUGAGAACUUAAAUUAAACAUAUAUCUCAAUUUAAAUUGCCAAGAGGGAAGAGGAGGAAACCUGCAUUUUCAUGCCAUCCUCUGCCAUCCAAAGGUCUGAAAUGUUCUAAUAACAUGUGCACAUCUAUCACACUGGGGUUUUUUGUGAUGGGAGGAGACUACUACCUGAUGAUUAUAUAGAUAUCGCUUAAGCUCACAUUGAUGUUGUUGCGAUAAAACAGUAUCAAGAGCCCUCAUCACUGACAAAGAAAUUAUCUGCAAAGAAAAAAAAGGUCAGAUGUUGUUUAUCAAUUUUUCUUUUAAAUUGAAAUAUCUGCUAAGGACUUGUUUAAUUCAACGUGGCUUGCAAAUAUUUACUUAGUUAUUUUGAG